UGCGUAGGGUGCAAGCGUUAAUCGGAAUUACUGGGCGUAAAGCGUGCGCAGGCGGUUCGGAAAGAAAGAUGUGAAAUCCCAGGGCUUAACCUUGGAACUGCAUUUUUAACUACCGGGCUAGAGUGUGUCAGAGGGGGGUGGAAUUCCACGUGUAGCAGUGAAAUGCGUAGAUAUGUGGAGGAACACCGAUGGCGAAGGCAGCCCCCUGGGAUAACACUGACGCUCAUGCACGAAAGCGUGGGGAGCAAACAGG
rnacentral:rRNA from 1 species